rnacentral:misc_RNA from 1 species
AAGUCGUAUCAAGGUUUCCGUAGGUGAACCUGCGGAAGGAUCAUUUCCGAACAAAACAUCCCAUAUCAACCAACCAUGUGAAAUGUUUUGGGUGACCUUUACUGGAGGGAUAGCUGGAGUUGUUAUGCGUGCGCCGCCUUUCGGGGUGUGUGUGUGUGUAUAGCUCAUCUCCAAAUUUUUUUUAUCCCUCCAGGCCUUGAUGAACUACCUUGUAACAAAGGUUGAUUUUAUAUCGUCUUUUCAAACUUUUAGAAAAGUAAAUGAUAUGACAACUUUUAACGGUGGAUCUCUUGGCUCGU